rnacentral:rRNA from 1 species
AGAGUUUGAUCCUGGCUCAGAAUCAACGCUGGCGGCGCGCUUAACACAUGCAAGUCGCACGAGAAAGCAGUAGCAAUACUGUGAGUACAGUGGCGUACGGGUGAGUAACACGUGGAUCAUCUACCUUCUAGUGGGGAAUACCUCCGGGAAACUGGAGACAAUACCGCAUAAGCUCGUAAGAGGAAAGCAGCAAUGCGCUGGAAGAGGAGUCCGCGGCUGAUUAGCUAGUUGGCGGGGUAACGGCCCACCAAGGCGAAGAUCGGUAGCCGGCCUGAGAGGGCACACGGCCACACUGGCACUGAAACACGGGCCAGACUCCUACGGGAGGCAGCAGUGGGGAAUCUUGCACAAUGGAGGAAACUCUGAUGCAGCGACGCCGCGUGAGCGAUGAAGCCCUUCGGGGUGUAAAGCUCUUUCGACGGGAACGAUUAUGACGGUACCCGAAGAAGAAGCUGCGGGCUAACUACGUGCCANCAGCCGCGGUAAUACGUAGGCAGCAAGCGUUGUUCGGAAUUACUGGGCGUAAAGAGUGUGUAGGCGGUGUUCUAAGUCUGUUGUGAAAUCUCCCGGGCUUAACUGGGAGGGUGCNGGCGGAAACUGGAAUGCUANAGGAUGGGAGAGGUAAGCNGAAUUCCUGGUGUAGCGGUGAAAUGNGUANAUAUCANGAGGAACACCUGUGGUGUANACAGCUUACUGGAC